UACGAAGGGGGCUAGCGUUGCUCGGAAUCACUGGGCGUAAAGCGCACGUAGGCGGAUCUUUAAGUCAGGGGUGAAAUCCCAAGGCUCAACCUUGGAACUGCCUUUGAUACUGGGGAUCUCGAGUCCGGAAGAGGUGAGUGGAAUUCCGAGUGUAGAGGUGAAAUUCGUAGAUAUUCGGAGGAACACCAGAAGCGAAGGCGGCUCACUGGCCCGAUACUGACGCUGAGGCGCGAAAGCGUGGGGAGCAAACAGG
rnacentral:rRNA from 1 species